rfam:Loxodonta africana unplaced genomic scaffold scaffold_32, whole genome shotgun sequence.
AGGUCCUCAAUAAGUAUUUGUUGAAAGAAUAAAUGAACCAACAAGUCUUAUUUGAGCACCUGUUAUG